GACGAACGCUGGCGGCGUGCUUAACACAUGCAAGUCGAACGGAAAGGCCCUGCUUUUGUGGGGUGCUCGAGUGGCGAACGGGUGAGUAACACGUGAGUAACCUGCCCUUGACUUUGGGAUAACUUCAGGAAACUGGGGCUAAUACCGGAUAGGAGCUCCUGCUGCAUGGUGGGGGUUGGAAAGUUUCGGCGGUUGGGGAUGGACUCGCGGCUUAUCCGCUUGUUGGUGGGGUAGUGGCUUACCAAGGCUUUGACGGGUAGCCGGCCUGAGAGGGUGACCGGCGACAUUGGGACUGAGAGACGGCCCAGACUCCUACGGGAGGCAGCAGUGGGGAAUAUUGCACAAUGGGCGGAAGCCUGAUGCAGCAACGCCGCGUGCGGGAUGACGGCCUUCGGGUUGUAAACCGCUUUCGCCUGUGACGAAGCGUGAGUGACGGUAAUGGGUAAAGAGGCACCGGCUAACUACGUG
rnacentral:rRNA from 1 species